GUCUACGGCCACGCCCCCUGAACCAGCCCCAUCCCGUCUGAUCUCGGAAGCUAAGCAGGGUCGGGGCUGGUUAGUACUUGGAUGGGAGACCACCUAGGAAGACCAGGUGCUGUAGGUG
rnacentral:rRNA from 1 species